UAAACUGCUGGGAUUCUUUCCUCUGGCUUGAACUGGGUUUGAGUCAGACCUUGGAGACACAAACAGCAGAGCAAGUCCAGACACCACUGGAGUCAUAAACAAACCUCCUGCCAGCUGCCCAUCUACUCUUGUGCAUCAUGUUCAAUUGCUUGUGAAUGGAGUCCUCCCUCCUUUGUCCAGGUGGUUUCAACAUUGUGUUGCAAUCCCUGUCGCUGGCUUGUGUGUUUUUAAAAACUUCUUAGAAGAGUAUCUUAACAGUACAUAACGAUAAAAUAUAUGACAAUUUUAUUUGCACGAAUUGUCAUAUCCAUAUAGCAGCAUCUUUUAAUAAUUUUGACUAUGUUUAAAUGAGAUCACCAAGAGAGACUAUAGCUCUGCACAGACAUGUGCAGGCAUGCCUAGGAAUUUGGCUUGCCUGCAGUUUAUCUGUCCCAGUUAAAGGCAGGUGCAGCCUUUUGCUUCCAUGGACAUUGAUGAGCUGGUAGAUGUGCUAACAGGGAGAGAGCUCACACACAGCAACUGGUCCUGAUCUAAUCACACACAUUCUUACAGUGCUGUUUGGCUCCAACUUGCCCAACUGCAGGAAUAUUUUCAGUUUUCCUUCCUACCUCCUUGGACAGGGAUCACCCAAGUUUGGGUAAUCAAGCCGUUUGCAGUUUGCCACUUCUCCCCAGUCUGUGGCUAAAGAGGGGAAUUACAGGAUGGGAAAAGUGGCUUAGGCUGCAAUUCUGCUUUGCAGAUGAGAAGGAGCUUCCCUGGAGUACCUGCAAACAUACUGGGAAUGCUGGUGAGUGGCUCAGAAAGCCCGGCAGACUCUUUACAGUUUGUCCCUAGACAUCUUGUUGAAAAGCUUCAGAACAACAGGAGUGGUAUCACAGGCAGAGGAUGGGGAUCAGCCUCUGAGUCUUGCCUACCCUCUUCUACCGCUUUUCUCCUUUCCUACAGCCCAAAAUGUCAAGCUAUUGAUUCGGAGGUGAUGUCAAGGUCAUUUGGGAUUCUGACACUUUCCUUGAGAGUUCUCCUUGGGAAUGCUUGGAGAUUUUGGUGACUUUUGGCCAGACACAAAUGUCCUAGUUAUGUUCUAUUUCCUCUUGACAGCUGUACCAGGGAACAAUGUUUUAAUGGGAAUAAUUUAAAUUUUUAAUAUGUCGGUCCCUGAAUAAAGAACGUUCAAGACUGAAGAAAUUCUAAACACUAUCAUACUUAAUGCAAUCCUUAUCCUACCCUAUCUCUUCUUUCUCUUGGAUUUUGAAGAAGAUCAAAGGAAUGAUUUAUUCACAGUCUUUGUAAGUGAGCGCUAGCAGUUAUGUUCAAUGUGCUAAUCAUGUGCAGCGGCAAAGCAGAAAUGGAAACUGGACUAUCUGCAAAUGUUGCCUCUUUUUUCCCCCAUGCCUUCUGAUUACUCUGUGGAUGCAGCAUCCCACAAAAUAUGUGAAGUUUACAUAGAGAGCAACAGACAGAACAAGUUUCAACAAGAAUUCCUUUCUUCCUGGCUGAAGUGUACAAACCCAGCAACUGUGCUCCCAACACAAGCUGCAGUUUCCAUGCCUCCUGUACAUGUGCUUGUGUUUUUGUGGGGCUUUUCAAAACAAACUGGGCUGAAUCACACUGCAGGAGCUUCCCAGGCUGUGUCCUUGGCCAAGCCUGGAACAGCAGACUCACACCAAAACCUCUUGCCUGCAGGCAGGUAGGGACAGCAAUUGUUUACUCACUUGCACGAAUCACGAGGGGGUUUUCCCUUCACUUUAUAGUCCCAUAUGGUGAUGCUUCUCCUGUUGGGCACUCUCAGCCUCUUCUCAUGCACCCAAACUGCCUCCAGGAGCGCAUCCUCCAUCCUCUGACCCACCCCAGCCACCUUUGGGCAUGAGAUCCUGCUCACUCCCACUCCUGUUCCCUUCUCUGGAGCCACACUCAUCCUGCCUAUCACACCGUCCUGCACUUCCACCUAAUUUUGUAUCCCGACUUUUAAUUAUGGCAGGUGGGCCAGAAUUUCUACACGAGAGACAGAAGAAGUGACCCAAGAGAUCUCCAAGAGACACAAAAAGUGUGUCUUGCUCUGACAGUCAGCUGAAGGAUUUGCUCUCCCAGUGCCUGCAUUUCCCAGAACACACCCCAGCCUCUCCAGGCAGUGAUUUUCCCACAUCCCAAACCCCUCACUGUCCAUUUCCAGCCCUCCCAGAAAUGAGGUCCUCGUGGCACUCGUACCCCAGGUACCAAGACAGACAAAACCAGCCAGCAUAGACAGGUUUGGUUUCGUUCCAAGGGGUAAUUUCUGUUCUUUUUCUAACAUCUACAUCUCCAAGGAUUUAAUCUAUACUCCUGUGGGUCUCAGAUUCAGUCAAAUAGAGAAAUGGAGAGUUUCUAGCCAGGCAGAAGCCUGGGAAAGAGUUGGGAAAGAAUGUAAAUAAAAGAGCGGUGUAUUUUG